rnacentral:rRNA from 1 species
GAUGAACGCUGGCGGCGUGCCUAAUACAUGCAAGUCGAGCGAACAGAUGAGGAGCUUGCUCCUUUGACGUUAGCGGCGGACGGGUGAGUAACACGUAGGUAACCUACCUAUAAGACUGGGAUAACUUCGGGAAACCGGAGCUAAUACCGGAUAAUAUUUCGAACUGCAUGGUUCGAUAGUGAAAGAUGGCUUUGCUAUCACUUAUAGAUGGACCUGCGCCGUAUUAGCUAGUUAGUAAGGUAACGGCUUACCAAGGCAACGAUACGUAGCCGACCUGAGAGGGUGAUCGGCCACACUGGAACUGAGACACGGUCCAGACUCCUACGGGAGGCAGCAGUAGGGAAUCUUCCGCAAUGGGCGAAAGCCUGACGGAGCAACGCCGCGUGAGUGAUGAAGGUCUUCGGAUCGUAAAACUCUGUUAUUAGGGAAGAACAAACGUGUAAGUAACUGUGCACGUCUUGACGGUACCUAAUCAGAAAGCCACGGCUAACUACGUG